UUUCUCUCUCUCUCUCUUGAAGAGCGAACUCGCGCUUCGAGCUCUCUGUCUCUCUCUCUUCUCUCUCUCUCUAUAUUUCUCUCUCUCUAGCGAUUCGAGCGCGACGUCUCGCCAUCCAUUCCCCGCUCCCGGAUUCGGUUCGGCUCGGCUCCUCGUAGCGCCAAGAUAACUCGAUUGCACUUAUGUUGAAGGAUGGGAUGUCAUGAGCCAGGUGCUGAUUGAUAAAGCUGAGCGGUCAAAAGAAUACCAAUAUGGGAGGUUGCUGUUGCUGUCCUAGGCCUGAACCGCCACCAUUCUAUCAUGUCAGCGGGAUUGUGUGGUAUGUUACUGUACUUGUGGGCCUGUGGUCUUUAAGAGAUUCCUCUCUAAGCAACAAUAGUACGCAUCAGUAGGAACGGCAAAGGGCAAGGGGUGGGAUCAAUAUUCUUGCCACCCCCACCCACAAAAGCCCCGUACCAAGCAGGCUGGGCAGGUUUGAUUGGGUCCUCUUGGGGCAGGGUUUUUUUUUUUUCCAAUGCCUACUAUGCAGCUUCUUUGCACUAUGUCUUGUCUACUUUCUUAUGAUUACUUUUCACACGAUGUUCUCUUAAUAUAUUCACAAAUGUGUCAGCUAUUCCUGAGAAUUUCACUGGGUAACUACAUAGGUUUC